CCCCUAGAUGUUCUGGGCCGCACGCGCGCUACACUGAACAGUUCAACAAGUCUUAACCUUGGCCGAUAGGUCUGGGUAAUCUUUGAACGCUGUUCGUGAUUGGGAUAGACCUUUGCAAUUAUGGGUCUUCAACGAGGAAUUCCUAGUAAACGCAAGUCAUCAGCUUGCAUUGAUUACGUCCCUGCCCUUUGUACACACCGCCCGUCGCACCUACCGAUUGUAUGGUCCGGUGAAAUCUCGGGACGGCGGCUUGGUCGCUUGCGUCCGACUGCUGAAACUUGAUUAAACCAUAUCAUUUAGAGGAAGGUGAANUCGUAACA
rnacentral:rRNA from 1 species